GAUGAACGCUAGCUACAGGCUUAACACAUGCAAGUCGAGGGGCAGCGGGGAGGUAGCAAUACUUCCGCCGGCGACCGGCGCACGGGUGAGUAACACGUAUGCAACCUGCCCUGUGCAGGGGGAUAAUCCGGAGAAAUCCGGUCUAAUACCGCGUAACACCCCAUGGGGACAUCCCCGUGGGGUUAAAGGAAGCAAUUCCGGCACAGGAUGGACAUGCGUUGUAUUAGCUAGAUGGUGAGGUAACGGCUCACCAUGGCGACGAUACAUAGGGGGACUGAGAGGUUAACCCCCCCACACUGGUACUGAGACACGGACCAGACUCCUACGGGAGGCAGCAGUGAGGAAUAUUGGUCAAUGGACGCAAGUCUGAACCAGCCAUGCCGCGUGCAGGACGACGGCUCUAUGAGUUGUAAACUGCUUUUGUACAAGGGUAAACCCCGGUACGAGUACCGGGCUGAAAGUACUGUACGAAUAAGGAUCGGCUAACUCCGUG
rnacentral:rRNA from 1 species